rnacentral:lncRNA from 13 species
AUGUGUGCGCAGAGACGUGUGUCAGCGGCAGCUCAGGCUCCAGGGAGCCGGCGCUGGGGGUGGAAGGAGGAGGGAAGACAUAAGGGGCCAGAAGGCGAGAAGAGUAACGACCGAAGGUGGGGGGCCCAGGCGGCGGUGGAGGGGAGAAGGAUGCUGAGCCCGCGCGCCCGCCCGCUCGCUCCCCCCGGGCCGCGCGUCGGCACUCACGCUAAGGGGAGAGAGCGAGCUGCCGGGGAGCGGAGGGGGGGGGUCAGGCCGACACUGUCGCCGCCGCUGCCAGAGCCGCCGCCUCCUCCCUCAGUUUCGUUUCCCCACAAGCCAGCCCGGGUCCGCCAGCCGCGCCGUCGCGCUCGGGUCCCGCCCUGCGGGCUGCGCAGUCUGAUGACGUCACAGGCAGCGCCGCGCCCCCGAUCCUCCCAAAGUCCGGUCCUGGCCGGGGGAAAAGCUGCUGAGAUUCUGGCCCGCCCCACCCCUCGACCUGGGAGGUUCAGUGGCGCCUGCGCGGAAAAGCCGCCGACUAAGAACAAGUUCAGAGAGGUAGAUAGUACAGUGGUUGAAGGCAGGAACCCAGUGUUCUUGUUCCCUGCUGUAUCCCCAACACCAGCCUCUAGGACAUCUCAACAGAUUUUGAACGAAGGACGGGAGGAAAGAGGGAAUGCCGCCUAUAGCAUCUUACCAUAUGGACACACAUGACUCUUCAUCCCAAACCUCUAUUCUGAUUUUCAGGCCAGUAUGGCCAAACGUCUGUUGGACAUCCUAACUCAGUCACCUCAAACCCCUGAAUUCAAAUUUCACCUUAUGUUUUCCCAUCAGCUCACAUUUUUCCUGGUGAAGGGUGCUGCCAUCCAUCCUGCUGGUCCAGCUAGAAGUCUGAGGAGUCACCCUCUUUUUCAUGCUCCAGAGUUUCUCAUACACUUAAUUGUUUUUACCUCCUAAUUGUAUCCCAAAUCUAUCCAUUCACCUCCAUCCCCACUGCCACAAUUCAUGCACUCACCUCCUCUCGGCAGAAUUUCUCCGGGAAUCUCCAAUCCCCAGUGCCUGUCUCCCGUUGUGAUCGCUCUAAUGCGUUCUUCACAAAACCAAAGUGAUUUUUUAAAAUAAAAUUUUCAAUACCUGUGAAAAGAAAGGAAUU